CCAAAUUCACACAUUCCCCUUCUUCCCCAAAAAUUUUAGAUUUCCCUCUCAUAUUCACAAACAAUUGGAAAUUUAUCUCUCAUAAUCGAUCGUAUCCUACGCUCAAUUCCCAUCCCCCAUCUUCCGACCAGACUCUCAUCUCCUCAAAUCGAUUCCCGCCACUGCCUCACUAAUUAAUCACGGAUGAGCUACCGACGAUCCACCACUUCACCACCAGAAAAUCAUCAUCGAUGCUCGAAUCCUUGACGCUAAACUUGUCAUCGCUUCAAUCCUCACUGCAGCCCUCGACAGCAGGUGGAUUUCUUCAUGUCAAGCAACAUAUUUUUUUCUCACUUGCUAUCUGGGAUUAUGGGACUUGCUAAGAAAGGGGUCUAUAAAAACUUGUUAUCCUUUAGUAAGGGUAGAUAUCAUGAGCAACUUUGAGCUAAGUUUUUUGAAGUUCUCACCCAAAAGAACGUGUAGACUCCUCAUGUAAAUAGUUAGAAUUUGGAAUUUGUUACUUAUUACACAAUGUUUUGCUAACAUUUGCAAUAUGUAUUGGAUCAAACUUAUUAUUGAAGUUAUAAUAUUAUGCUUUCUACC